AGGCCCUCUGCCUCAUCCUAGCCAGCAGGCCCUCUCUCUCUCUCUGUGUGUGUGUGUGUGUGUUUGCUGUGCUUGAUUGCAGGAGUGGAGUCUGGUGUGCAGGGGUUGUGCUGCAGCUGCAAACCGUCAUCAAUCUACUCUACAACAAAUACUGCAGCACUUGGCCCAAUUCCUGCCUCCAUUCCACUCCUACCUAGCACACAGCUCUGGAUCUCGGGACACAGCUCCCCCCCCCCUCUGCCUGCAAACUCACCUGCCUUGCUCUACCCAGUUCUCGCCAUCAUAAAUUAAGUAUUGGAAAUAAAUUAUUUCAUUGCAUCUA